GGACAACCUACCCUCCGGACGGGUAUAAACCCGGGAAACUGGGUAUAAUCCCCGAUAGAUCUCGGUCGCUGGAAAGCCCCGAGAUCGAAAGCUCCGGCGCCAGAGGAUGGGUCUGCGGCCUAUCAGGUAGUAGUGGGUGUAGCGUACCUACUAGCCUACGACGGGUACGGGUUGUGAGAGCAAGAGCCCGGAGAUGGAUUCUGAGACACGAAUCCAGGCCCUACGGGGUGCAGCAGGCGCGAAAACUUUACAAUGCCGGCAACGGCGAUAAGGGGACCUCGAGUGCCAGGUUACAAAUCUGGCUGUCGUGAUGCCUAAAAAGCAUUGCAUAGCAAGGGCCGGGCAAGACCGGUGCCAGCCGCCGCGGUAACACCGGCGGCUCGAGUGGUAACCGUUAUUAUUGGGUCUAAAGGGUCUGUAGCCGGCCGGAUAAGUCUCUUGAGAAAUCCAGCAGCUCAACUGUUGGGCUUUCAGGAGAUACUGUCUGGCUCGAGGCCGGGAGAGGUGAGAGGUACUUCAGGGGUAGGGGUGAAAUCUUGUAAUCCUUGAAGGACCACCAGUGGCGAAGGCGUCUCACCAGAACGGACCUGACGGCAAGGGACGAAAGCUAGGGGCACGAACCGGAUUAGAUACCCGGGUAGUCCUAGCCGUAAACGAUACUCGCUAGGUGUCGGCCACGGUGCGACCGUUGUCGGUGCCGUAGGGAAGCCGUGAAGCGAGCCACCUGGGAAGUACGGCCGCAAGGCUGAAACUUAA
rnacentral:rRNA from 1 species